AGGGGUAUAGCUCAAUUGGCAGAGCGCCGGUCUCCAAAACCGGAGGUUGGGGGUUCGAUGCCCUCUGCCCCUGCCA
rnacentral:tRNA from 2 species